rnacentral:lncRNA from 1 species
GGUGAAAAGCUACCCCGUAGACGCCACGAGGCCCGCAGGAGAGGGCGAUGCAUGCCUGAAAUCACACGACGAAUGGUACAGGGAACUUGAAAUCUUGGAUGAUGUCAUAAAAUGGGUACAUAAAGAUGGUGUUAAGUGGAAAACACAAUCCAAGUAUCUGAUGUUGCACUUCCUUCACAAACUAGACGAACCCACACGAACGUUCUCGAAUUAGAGGGGGAAAAGUCGCAAUUCGGACGGAGCCAGCCGAAUCUGUUGAGGACUUGGGUAGAUGUUUGCUUUUUCAAGUUGACAUGUCCUAAUAAAACACUAUGAUAUAGUAAAGUGACAUGGAAACCCAAGUUUUGAUGAAAAGCUAGUAACAAAACACUAAGGAACAUUCAAACCCAAGCCCUAGAGUGAGGAAAACACGCAUUUCGGACCGAGGGAGAAGAAUUCUGUGAGUGCUUGGGGUAGAUUUUUGUUUUACAUGUGCCCAUGUGGCAAUAGAAUACUAAGUAAUAGAAAAACAUCAGGAAAACAAAUGUUUUGGUGAAAAGCUACCCCGUAGACGCCAGGAGGCCCGCAGGAGGGGGCGAUGCCUCAAAUCACACGACGGAUGGCCUAGAGAACUUGAAAUCUUGGAUGAUGUCAUAAAAUGGGUACAUAGAGAUGGUGUUAAGAGAAAAACACAAUCCAAGAAUCUGAGGUUGCACUUCCUUCACAAACUAGACUAACCUGCACGAACGUUCCGGACUUAGGGGGGAAAAGUCGCAAUUCAGAAGGACGGAGCAUAAUUCUUUGAGGACUUGGGUAGCUUUUUGGUUUUUCAUGUCCCCAUGUGCUAGUACAACACAAAGGUAUAGAGUAAAGUGACUUGAGAACACAAGUUUUGGUGAAAAGCUAGCCCGGAGAAAACCGAAGGCCCGCAGGAGAGGGCGAUGCCUGAAAUGACACGACGAAUGAUCCAGAGAACUUGAAAUCUUGGAUGAUGUCAUCAAAUGGGUUCCUAAAGAUGGUGUUAAGAGGAAAACACAAUCCAAGUAUCUGAGGUUGCACUUCGUUCACAAACUAGACUAACCCGCACGGAAGUUCCGAACUUAGGGGGAAAAUUUCGCAAUUCGGACGGACGGAGCAGAAUUCUUUAUGAAAUUGGGUAGAUUUUUGUUUUUCAUGUUCAAAUGUCCUAAUAGAACAAAAAGGAAGUCUAAACUGACAGGAAAACCCCAAUGUUUUGUGAAUAAAUAAAGUAAAAAUUGGAAAAAAAAGUGAACCGAGCCUAGCUUAGGUGGUCUGGUUCCUUGUGGUGGAACCAGCUCACCCAGGUUCAAGUCCUAAACUUGACAUGUGUGUCACAUUUUCCUGGAUUAUUCCAGGAUUUAACCGGCGCUAUUCUUUCAGUGGUGGAUGACGUACCAGGUCCAGUCUUUCGGAGGUGCUGAUAGGGGUAGGGUGUGCGUGUAUGCGUUCAUAGGGGUGAGUGUACGCACGUGUUGUGAGUGUCUGUGUUUGUACUGUGUUUCUCAAAAAAAAACUAAAAAAAUGUAAAAAUUCUUUGCCGGCGGCUUUUUGUCGGGCCACCGGCAAAGAGGGCUAAAAAAAAACAAAAACCUCCGUCCCCCCUCUUUCUCUCUCUCUCUCUCUCUCUCUCUCUCUCUCUCGCGCCCGCGCCCGACCGCCGCCGUCGCCCCCCGGCCGAAUCCCCCCAGAUCCGGCCUCCCCCUCCCUCUCCCCGC